AGCUCGUCCUGUGUCAGUCACAGGUUUGGAAGAAACCCCGCUGUGUAGCUAAAGCAGUGGACCUACUAGAAAUAAUGAAAUACUUUAGAAAAGGCGAAACAGUCAGAUCAGAAUAUGAGAAAGCUCUGCUGUUGGCUGCACUGUUCCUUAGAUGAGGCGAGUAGGUGCUGAUGGAGUCUGUCCUGUGUCUGGGAUCCACAAGCAGCUUUCUGUCCCCUUAGAGCAGGUGUUCAUUGCUGGGUUUCUGUGCAGAUAGAAACCUUACCUUUAGCAAGCUGCUGUGCUGUGUGUGCCUGCAGGACCUGGGUGAAAAGGACAUUCUCUGAGGUGCUGGGAGAAGGAGGACUCGUGCGGGCACCUCCAGAGACAGCGGGAACGGGAGCGUGCUGCGGAGAAGGAAAAUUCCAGGGGAAUUGCCACGAGAGGAAAUACUUCAGAGGGGCUUCCCUCCAGCUAAGCCCUGAAUGUGCCAGGAGGUUUCAGCCGGGAGGAAAGGAGCUGUGGAAGAAAAGCAGCCUAAAAAUAGCCAGCGGGGAUCAUCAGGUUUUCCAGCCAAGAAGAACAAGGAGAGAGAUGAGGGAAUCGGGUUCCAAUUCCUAAUGAUUUGGUGGGUGCAGGAAUGAUUUGUGUGUGUUUUCCAGUCCCUUUUGAUUCCUGAGAUGAUUUUAAAAUGAUGGCUUUAGCAAUCAACUAAAUCGGAGAUGUUGUUUUUGAGAGGAAAUGAUGCCAAAUAAAUGCAGAGUUUUGGGUCAGUU